rnacentral:rRNA from 1 species
UUAUAAAUAAUAAUAUUUAAUAAUAAGAAAUUAAAUGAAAUCAUUAAAUUUAAAAAAUUUGGCGGUAUUUUAAAUAAUUAGAGGAAUUUGUUAAUUAAAUGAUAGUCCACGAGUGGGGAGUCCUAAUUUAAUUUUUAUGUAUUGUUGUAUGAAAAUUAUUUUAUGAAAAUAAUAAUUGAUAUAUUUAAUUUAAUUUGAAUUCAAAUCAAAAUGUAGAAUUUUUAGGUUUAAAUGAAUUACAGUUUAAUUUAAUAUCGAAUUUAUUUUUUUAAUUAAAAUAAUAAGGUAGGAUUUAAGAGUAAAUUUAAAAAAAUUUUUAAAUUGAAGAAUAAAUUAAAAUAUG